rnacentral:tRNA from 1 species
GCUCCAAUAGUCUAGCCCGGUCAAGGACGCUGGCCUUUCAAGCCGGUAACCCGGGUUCGAAUCCCGGUUGGAGCA